rnacentral:rRNA from 1 species
UCUACAGGCUUAACACAUGCAAGUCGAGGGGCAGCAUGGUCUUAGCUUGCUAAGGCCGAUGGCGACCGGCGCACGGGUGAGUAACACGUAUCCAACCUGCCGUCUACUCUUGGACAGCCUUCUGAAAGGAAGAUUAAUACAAGAUGGCAUCAUGAGUCCGCAUGUUCACAUGAUUAAAGGUAUUCCGGUAGACGAUGGGGAUGCGUUCCAUUAGAUAGUAGGCGGGGUAACGGCCCACCUAGUCUUCGAUGGAUAGGGGUUCUGAGAGGAAGGUCCCCCACAUUGGAACUGAGACACGGUCCAAACUCCUACGGGAGGCAGCAGUGAGGAAUAUUGGUCAAUGGGCGAGAGCCUGAACCAGCCAAGUAGCGUGAAGGAUGACUGCCCUAUGGGUUGUAAACUUCUUUUAUAAAGGAAUAAAGUCGGGUAUGGAUACCCGUUUGCAUGUACUUUAUGAAUAAGGAUCGGCUAACUCCGUGCCAGCAGCCGCGGUAAUACGGAGGAUCCGAGCGUUAUCCGGAUUUAUUGGGUUUAAAGGGAGCGUAGAUGGAUGUUUAAGUCAGUUGUGAAAGUUUGCGGCUCAACCGUAAAAUUGCAGUUGAUACUGGAUAUCUUGAGUGCAGUUGAGGCAGGCGGAAUUCGUGGUGUAGCGGUGAAAUGCUUAGAUAUCACGAAGAACUCCGAUUGCGAAGGCAGCCUGCUAAGCUGCAACUGACAUUGAGGCUCGAAAGUGUGGGUAUCAAACAGGAUUAGAUACCCUGGUAGUCCACACGGUAAACGAUGAAUACUCGCUGUUUGCGAUAUACUGCAAGCGGCCAAGCGAAAGCGUUAAGUAUUCCACCUGGGGAGUACGCCGGCAACGGUGAAACUCAAAGGAAUUGACGGGGGCCCGCACAAGCGGAGGAACAUGUGGUUUAAUUCGAUGAUACGCGAGGAACCUUACCCGGGCUUAAAUUGCAGAUGAAUUACGGUGAAAGCCGUAAGCCGCAAGGCAUCUGUGAAGGUGCUGCAUGGUUGUCGUCAGCUCGUGCCGUGAGGUGUCGGCUUAAGUGUCAUAACGAGCGCAACCCUUGUUGUCAGUUACUAACAGGUUCCGCUGAGGACUCUGACAAGACUGCCAUCGUAAGAUGUGAGGAAGGUGGGGAUGACGUCAAAUCAGCACGGCCCUUACGUCCGGGGCUACACACGUGUUACAAUGGGGGGUACAGAGGGCCGCUACCACGCGAGUGGAUGCCAAUCCCCAAAACCUCUCUCAGUUCGGACUGGAGUCUGCAACCCGACUCCACGAAGCUGGAUUCGCUAGUAAUCGCGCAUCAGCCACGGCGCGGUGAAUACGUUCCCGGGCCUUGUACACACCGCCCGUCAAGCCAUGGGAGCCGGGGGUACCUGAAGUGCGUAACCGCGAGGAGCGCCCUAGGGUAAAACUGGUGACUGGGGCUAA